GCCAUCCUUGGGAUACCACCCUUGUAGUACUGGGACUCUAACCAUAGGCCAUGAAUCUGGUCUUGGGACACUGUCAGGUGGGCAGUUUGACUGGGGCGGUCGCCUCCCAAAAGGUAACGGAGGCGCUCAAAGGUUCUCUCAGUACGGUCGGAAAUCGUACGUAGAGUGUAAAGGCAAAAGAGAGCUUGAUUGCAAGACAUACAGGUCGAGCAAGGAUGAAAAUCGGACUUAGUGAUCCGGUGGUUCUGCGUGGAAGGGCCAUCGCGCAACGGAUAAAAGCUACCCUGGGGAUAACAGGCUUAUCUCCCCCAAGAGUCCACAUCGACGGGGCGGUUUGGCACCUCGAUGUCGGCUCAUCACAUC
rnacentral:rRNA from 1 species